rnacentral:tRNA from 1 species
GCCACUUUAGCUCAGUUGGAUAGAGCAACGCAUUUGUAAUGCGUAGGUCGUCGGUUCAAGUCCGACAAGUGGCUCCU